rnacentral:rRNA from 1 species
AUUGAACGCUGGCGGCAUGCCUUACACAUGCAAGUCGAACGGUAACAGGUCUUCUGAUGCUGACGAGUGGCGAACGGGGGUGUAAUACAUCUGAACGUGCCCGAUCGUGGGGGAUAACGAGGCGAAAGCUUUGCUAAUACCGCAUACGAUCUACGGAUGAAAGCGGGGGAUCUUCGGACCUCGCGCGGUCUGAGCGGCCGAUGGCAGAUUAGGUAGUUGGUGGGAUAAAAGCUUACCAAGCCGACGAUCUGUAGCUGGUCUGAGAGGAUGAUCAGCCACACUGGGACUGAGACACGGCCCAGACUCCUACGGGAGGCAGCAGUGGGGAAUUUUGGACAAUGGGCGAAAGCCUGAUCCAGCCAUGCCGCGUGCAGGAUGAAGGCCUUCGGGUUGUAAACUGCUUUUGUACGGAACGAAAAGCCUCUUUCUAAUAAAGAGGGGUCAUGACGGUACCGUAAGAAUAAGCACCGGCUAACUACGUG